rnacentral:rRNA from 1 species
AUUGAACGCUGGCGGCAGGCCUAACACAUGCAAGUCGAACGAGUGGCGGACGGGUGAGUAAUGUCUGGGAAACUGCCUGAUGGAGGGGGAUAACUACUGGAACCGGUAGCUAAUACCGCAUAGCAUCAGAUGUGCCCAGAUGGGAGUAGCUAGUUGGUGGGGUAACGGCGCACAAAGGCAACGAUCCCUAGCUGGUCUGAGCGGAUGACCAGCAACCUUGGACCUGAGACAGGGCCCAGAUUCUGACGGGAGGAAGAAGAGGGGAAUAUUGCACAAUGGGGGAAAUCCUGAUGCAGCCAUGCCGGGUGUAUGAAGAAGGCCUUCGGGUUGUAAAGUACGUUCAGCGGGGAGGCGUUACCCGCAGAAGAAGCACCGGCUAACUCCGUGCCAGCAGCCGCGGUAAUAC